UUCAAAUCCUAUAUCUAUCGCCGUUGGCCUUCACUAUUCUAAUACCAUGUUGAGAAUCAUGGGCCUAGGAAUGUGGAUCAACAAACAGACUCACCUCUAUGCUAAAUUGGGCGAAACUCGAACUCUCCAUCACAAAAAUGGUCUAAGCCAUUUUCAUUUGGUUUGCAUCUCUUUUUAUAAAGCCCUUUAAUUUCUUAUCCUUGGCUGAUGUGGG
rnacentral:misc_RNA from 1 species